rnacentral:rRNA from 1 species
AGAGUUUGAUCCUGGCUCAGAUUGAACGCUGGCGGCAUGCCUUACACAUGCAAGUCGAACGGCAGCACGGGAGCAAUCCUGGUGGCGAGUGGCGAACGGGUGAGUAAUACAUCGGAACGUGUCCUGGAGUGGGGGAUAGCCCGGCGAAAGCCGGAUUAAUACCGCAUACGCUCUGAGGAGGAAAGGGGGGGCUCGCAAGACCUCCCGCUCAAGGGGCGGCCGAUGGCAGAUUAGCUAGUUGGUGGGGUAAAGGCCUACCAAGGCGACGAUCUGUAGCUGGUCUGAGAGGACGACCAGCCACACUGGGACUGAGACACGGCCCAGACUCCUACGGGAGGCAGCAGUGGGGAAUUUUGGACAAUGGGCGCAAGCCUGAUCCAGCAAUGCCGCGUGUGUGAAGAAGGCCUUCGGGUUGUAAAGCACUUUUGUCCGGAAAGAAAACUUCCUGGUUAAUACCCGGGGAGGAUGACGGUACCGGAAGAAUAAGCACCGGCUAACUACGUGCCAGCAGCCGCGGUAAUACGUAGGGUGCAAGCGUUAAUCGGAAUUACUGGGCGUAAAGCAUGCGCAGGCGGUUCGUUAAGACAGAUGUGAAAUCCCCGGGCUUAACCUGGGAACUGCAUUUGUGACUGGCGGACUGGAGUAUGGCAGAGGGGGGUAGAAUUCCACGUAGCAGUGAAAUGCGUAGAGAUGUGGAGGAAUACCGAUGGCGAAGGCAGCCCCCUGGGCCAAUACUGACGCUCAUGCACGAAAGCGUGGGGAGCAAACAGGAUUAGAUACCCCCGUAGUCC